UACGUAGGCAGCAAGCGUUGUUCGGAGUUACUGGGCGUAAAGGGUGCGUAGGCGGCCGUGUAAGUGUGGUGUGAAAUCUCCCGGCUUAACUGGGAGGGUGCGCUACAGACUGCAUGGCUAGAGUGUGGGAGAGGAAAGUGGAAUUCCUGGUGUAGCGGUGAAAUGCGUAGAUAUCAGGAGGAACACCGGUGGUAUAAACGGCUUUCUGGACCAUAACUGACGCUGAUGCACGAAAGCGUGGGUAGCAAACAGG
rnacentral:rRNA from 1 species